rnacentral:rRNA from 1 species
UGGGGAAUAUUGCACAAUGGGCGCAAGCCUGAUGCAGCCAUGCCGCGUGUAUGAAGAAGGCCUUCGGGUUGUAAAGUACUUUCAGCGGGGAGGAAGGUGUUGUGGUUAAUAACCGCAGCAAUUGACGUUACCCGCAGAAGAAGCACCGGCUAACUCCGUGCCAGCAGCCGCGGUAAUACGGAGGGUGCAAGCGUUAAUCGGAAUUACUGGGCGUAAAGCGCACGCAGGCGGUCUGUCAAGUCGGAUGUGAAAUCCCCGGGCUCAACCUGGGAACUGCAUUCGAAACUGGCAGGCUAGAGUCUUGUAGAGGGGGGUAGAAUUCCAGGUGUAGCGGUGAAAUGCGUAGAGAUCUGGAGGAAUACCGGUGGCGAAGGCGGUCCCCUGGACAAAGACUGACGCUCAGGUGCGAAAGCGUGGGGAGCAAACA